AAAUGGCCAGUGAUCUAUUAAUUAAAAUAAUAAUAUCACUGAAAUAAAGAGAGAGAGAGAGAGAGAGAGAGAGAGUCCCCAAAAAAAAAAAAGGAAAAGAAGAGAAGAGAAAAGAACAAGCAAAAAAAAAAAAAAUGGUGGGCAAGCAAGCAAAGAACAACUGGGAAGUGGAGACUAUUCACUCUCUCUUUCUAUAUAACACAGCAACAGCAGCAGCAACAACAACCCUUUUAUUAAAAAUAAAUGAAGUUUUGAUUUUUAAGCGCUGACAAAUUUAAAAAGGCCAACUUUUUUGAGCUGCAGGCAAAACAAAACUCAAAAAGCCUUUUUAUAUUAAUGUUAUUAAUAAUAAUAAUAAUAACAACUACUAAAAUGGGCAAGGGCAAGACUGAACCGGUGGACUGAGAUUGGUCCCGUGGUCCGGUGCCGUUUUUGGUUUUGACUUCCGGUAAUCCCGCCUUUAGCCAGCGAAGCCUCUUUCUUACAUAACACUUCAAAAAAAAAAAAAAAAAAACUCACUCACUUAUCAACUUUCCCACACUUUUAAUAAUUAUUUUUAUUUUAUUUUUAUUUUUUAAAUUCUUUUAUUUCUUUUUUGAGUUUUAGCGAGUAAUCAAAAGGGUCAAGUGAAUUUAUUUCACUCGACUGUUUUAAGAAAUGAAAAUAUAUUUUACAGUUGUUCGAUUGAAAGCAAUGGAAAUCUGUAAGCAUUUAACAGCUUGCUCUUUACUUUUCUCAAACCGCCAUGCUUUUUUUUUUUUAAUUGAUAUCAACAAUUUUAUGAUAAUAUAAUUUGAAUAUCUUAGUCUAAUAAAUUUACUUUCAAAUAUUUAAAUAAAAAAAUCAACCCACAUUAAUUUGGUAAUAUUAAGGUCAUGGAGUGGAGUAAUUUGGUUUAUUUUCAUGUGACAUUCAUAAAAGAUUAAAUAAAAAAAAAACAAAAAAAAAUAACUUCAAUUAUCGUGCUGGAUUGAGAAUGGUAGCAGCAGUGAAUAGUGAAUUGGGAUAAAGAUUCAUGAACAUAAAAUGAGAUUUAAAUUCAAAACGUUUUAAAUUUGAUAUAUAACAUAAAAUUAUUUUUUAAUUUAAAUUGAUAUGUAUGAUUUACACAUAUUAUUAAUAAUGAUUAUGUUUAUCAUGUGAUCCUUUGUUCAGGAAAAAAGAGAGAGAGAAAAAAAAAAGGGGAAAGUAGAAUUCUUAGUUUGCAUUUAAUUUUUUUUUUAUCAUUAUAAUACUUCAAGAGAUGACAGAUAUGGUUUGAUUGAGGAAACAAUUAUGCUCAUAAGUUAUCUGUAAAAUUACCUCAAUAACUACAAUUGAGCUGGCUUAAUUUUUUAAAAUUUAACGUUAUAUUCCAUGUAAAUGCAUUAAUUUGAGAUUUUGUUUCUUAAUUUUAUUUUAGUAAGUGAAUAAUAUUAGUGUGCCCUUAGAUUUAAUUUCUCUUUAUUCUCUCAAGACAUUAAAAGCCAAAGCUAAGUUAAAGCUGUCAACAACUCUUUUGCAGGAGGGUAAAAAUUUGCUUGAAAAAAUCAUACGGGCUUUUUAUUUUUUCCUAAAUUAGAAGAUUACAAGUGUCAAACUUUGCUGUUAAAUUGGGUAUAUAUGGCAGUACAUUUAUGUAAUCAAUGAAUUUUAUUCAAUGUAAAAUACAAAAAAUUAAUUUCUGCAAAGUGGAAAAUGCAAAAAAAAAUUUGAAAAAAAAUCGUUAAUGUGCAUUAAUGGGUAUGGUGAAAAUUUGUCUCUAAUCAAUUGAAUUUGGAUAGGCUUUACUCUAAAACGAGCAACGUGAGUCAUUUAAAAAAUAAUUAGAAAAUUUUCGUUACUGAGUAAUGUGAUAAGUGAUAUGGCAUAAUCAACUAAAUGAUAAAGUUUUAAAAUUUGUAAAAUCAUUUUAUCAUAAAAAUGAAUAUGUACCAUUUGAAAAAGAAAUGAUGAUAAGACUUAGUAAUUAAUUAUUAUAAUAUUCUAUUAGAUAAUGCCUAUCAUGUAUCACAUUAGUUGGUAUCUCAAUUUUAUAAAUAUAUUGUUGUUGUUUUUUAAAGGGGGAUUGCCAAUUUUCCCCUUACAGUAAUCAGCAUAUAUCAUUUUUGCCUAUAUUGUUCCCUCCACUCUUGUUGCUUUCUUUGCUAUUGCUUCUAUUGAAUGUAAGAGGGAUGAAGGGCGAGUACAGUCUAUUGAUAAUAGCCAAAAACCCCCUUGACAGCAUAAGUUUACAAUAUUACCCUUAUUUUCAACUACUCUUUUAUUUACAUUUAUUAUAAAUUAAAUAAAUUACAUGAAUAGAAACUAAAUAAAAAAAUUAAGUAUUAAAAAUAAGAAAUAUAUGUUUUCAUAUGAGAAAAAAAUUAAUAAUAAAUUUUUUUUAUAAUUAUUUAUUUUGUGAACAUUUUCUUAUAAUAAAAUUUUGUAAUAUUUUAAAAUUAAAUGUAAAAAAUAUAGGCAAAAUAUUUUAUUAUUUAUCUUAUAAUAAAUUUUUAUUUGUCAUUCAAGUUUUCUUAUAAUAAUUUUUUUAUCAUUUUAUAAUAAUUUUCUUAUAUAUUUAUUAUAAGAAAAUUUUCACAAAAUAAAUUAGUACAAGAAAAAAAAUUUAUUAUUAAUUUUUUUGUUCAUAUCAAAUAAUCAAAACAUAUAUUUCUUACUUUUAAUGCUUAAUUUUUUAUUUAAUUUCUAUUCAUGUGAUUUAUUUAAUUUAUAAUAAAUAUAAAUAAAAGAGUAGUUAAAAAUAAGGGUAAUAUUAUAAAUUUAUACUGUCAGGAGGGUUUUUAGCCAUUAUAAAAACAGCAGGGGGAAAUGAUAUAUGUUGAUUACUAUAGGGGGAAAUUGGCAAUCUCACUUUUUUAAAUUAUUUUUUAAAACUGUUUUUUAAUUUUUUUUUUUUUUAAAGGAAAUAAUAUGAACGUAUCAAAAUUUGAAUUUAGAGAGGCUUGCAUGAGACGAAAAUAGUGCAAGAAAAUUAGGCGACAGAAAAGUCUAUCAAAAUUUAAUUCAAUGCCGUACCUCCACUCGCAACUCUCGAGUCUCAAUCGCUCUCCCUCGUUUUCAGUCCCAAAAUAUGAGAAUUUUCUUUCAUUGGUAACCUAAAAACAAAUUUUAAGCCGCAGGGGUAGCCUGUUUUUUCUGACCCUGUUCUUUACUCCAUGAAGAUAUGCAUUAAGCCAUUAAUUUAAGAAGUGAUUACCGUGCCUCAAUUGAGUUAAAAAGAGUCCAUAAAUUUUACAAUUAAGAUGUGAUUACCAUGUCUCAAUUGGAGAAAUUCUAAAAUACGUUAAUACAAUUAAUUAAUACAUAUAUGACAUAUGUUGUUAGAUUUUAUAUAACCACUAAUUACAUGUUAAUUCUUCAAGAUACAUGCACAUAUGCCAUACUAUCAUUUACAUAUUGUACAAUUAACGUUGUGCAUAAUAUUUAGUUUUUAUUUAGAUUUUUUUAUUUAUAUAAAAGUUACAAAAAUUUACUUUUUUAUCCGAUAUAAAUAUAUGUAAAUCAAGCAUAGUUAAAAAAAAAUUAAAAAAAGUUUGAAAUUCAUAAAAUUUUAGACAUAAAAAAUUUAACAAAUAAAUUUUAAGAUAAGAUUUGUUUUCCUCCUUUCUUGGUGAUGGUCCUAUCUAAAACUUCUUUUAGUAGUUCAUCGUUAUUAAAUAAAUGAAGAGUAAUGCUAGCCAUUUCAAAACUUAUUACAACAACGUGUUUUCUUAAAUGAUGUGAUAUAAAUAUAUUCAUUAUAUGGCCGAGAGUAAAAGAAUUAAACAAAUAAAUUAAAUUUUAUGCACUAUUUAAUCAAUGAAUGUCUUAUCACAUAAUCCCUUAUUAGUUUUGGGACGACUUGCACUAUUGAUAAAUAGAUAACCUGUAAAAUAAAAAUUCAUGAAUAAUCAUCUUUACUUUCUUCUUCAUAUUAACCGUAGUUUUUACUUUAUUUAUUUUUACACUCAUCUAUUAUAGCACAGCUCGAAUAUCCGUCGACAUUAUAACCUAGUUAAUCUUCAUUAUCUGUACAUGAGUUAAUAAUAGUUAUGGUUGCAGAAGAGAUACAGCUGAUAGAGGCAAAUUAAAGCUAGCCAGCACAGGUUGUGUAGUUGUAGUAUUUGGGUUUUAUUGCCAUUGAAAUCUAUUUGUUGGAUAAUAACCAACAAGGAUAAAAAACAUCAAGGUUAAGUGGAUCCCAAAUCUUUAAUGUGGACAAUGAAAUUUUGCAUUAAUGUAGUUUAGGCAAAAUUUAAUCUGAAAACAUAUCUUUAUCAGAAAUAAAAAAAUAAAAAAAAUAAAGAUUCCCAAGAGCAUAAUAGAAUCUUUUGCCAUUGAAUAGGGAUAUGAAAAAGAAAUUUUGGACCUCAUUAUGAGAGAGAUACACACACAUUAAAAGAACCUAGCUAGCUAGUAAGCGAAAAUGCAUGUACCAAAAUAUAUCAUGGAUUUUAAUUAAUAUACCAUUAGAGAGUAACCUAAACUUUAUCCUACACGACACUAAAAGUCAACACGUUAGAUUGUGAUUUAUGAGUUAUGUCGGCUUCAGUUAGUGUCUAAAAUAAAUAACAAAGACAUCAAAAAUGUUGAAAUAUUUUCCUCACGUAACCCAAUCAACCUCCUUUUCAGCUGCCUAAUUUUGAACCAGCAUACGAGCCCUACUUCUUUAACUUGCAAUGCAUGUGUGGAUGCGCUCAUUGUUGAUAAUCCCAUUUUCAAGAACAGCGUAUAAUUAAGAAAGAUUAUUAGAGUUAUUGAAUUCUAUUUUAUCGUUUCUUGGAUUCGACUUAAUUACAUGCCGUUACAAAAAAUAAAAAAUAAACAAAAGUGGGAUAUAUAGGACAGGACUGGAGGGUCAAACACUCAUAAUAAUGGUCAACGCACUUUAGUUUACCCUUUUUGUCAGGGAGAGUGGAUCUCCUUUUCAUUUCGUGUCACGUAAAUUCAUUUUGUAUCAUCAAUAGUAGGGGGGACACAUGCACCCUCCAUUGUUCUACUUGUUAGCUUCAAUAAUAAUAAUAAUAAUAAUAAAAAAAGGAAAUAAAGAAUUAAAUGGUAGACAUUAUAAGGGUCUGUGAUUGCCGUAUUUUAAAAGUAUCAUAUCUUAAAAUUUGAGCGUCGUUAAAUAGUUAAAUCUUUUUUUUUAUUUUUAUUGACUAUUAACCAUCAGUAAUUAAAAAAUGCCACAUUUAUAUAUGUAUAAAAUGUUGUAUAAACAUACGCAUUUUAAAAUAUGGGUUUGACAUAUUACAAUGUUACUAUUCAUAAAUUCAUGAAAAAAAAAAAAAGAGAUUAUGAGAGUAUAUAUAUAAAUAUUUUUUUAUUUAGUUAGAUUAUACAGUCAACUUUUUUUUUUCUUCCUUCUUCGAUGUAUGUGGACUGAGUCAGCUCCAGCCUCCAAUUGGGCGUCAAAAUUGCGCGUAAAUAAUAAGAAAAAAUAAAGUCAGUCAACCACCACUUUGAUGCUUAGGUUAUGUGUGCCGCUUGCCUUCUCCCUCAAAUUGUCGGCUGCCGUUCCACUUCUCCCUGCCAUCAUCCACACGACUUUUAAUUUGUGGAUAUUUUCAGUUGCUGGGUCAGAAUACUUUUUCAUAUUAUCGUUCCUCCUUUUUUUUUUUUGUUUAAUGACAUUUUGUAAGUUAUUUAUUACAUGUUCUAAAUUUUAUAUUUAAGAAUAUCUUAAAUUAAGAUAUAAAUUUAUAAAAAUAUAACGUUAAUUUUUUAAGAUAUAAUAAGAAGAUCUUUUACCAUAAUGAACAUAAAACAACAAUUGUAAUUUUCUUUUCAAUUGUUUGCUAUUUGAAAUUGACACCUAUGCACAUUUAAAAUAUUCAAAGCCUAUUGAUGAAUUUGCCUCUAGUGUUGUUAAUCGUCCUUUGUUCUUAUAUUUUAUUUUUAUAAUCUUUUGUCGUGCAUACAUUUAUAAUAACAUGUGCGGUUGUAAAUUAAUUAAUUUAUGUAUUCUUAUCGAAAUAUUGAAUAAAUAAUUACUAUAAAUCACACAUUUCUGAAAAAUUAAUUCAAAAAUCAGAUCAAUAUUGAACUUUUAUAGGUUAGGAUUAAAAUCUUCUGGUUAUGUGACUUUCUGCUAAUUAAAAUUCACUCAAGUGAUUGAUUGAUAGUUAAUAAAUUACUAAAUAAAAAUAAUUAAAUUAUAAUAAUACACUAAUACUAUAAAACACGUGACACAAUAAAAGAUUAAGAAGAGUUCAUAUUAGAGAGGAUCGUAAUCAUAGUUAUACUCCGCAUCAAACUAAUGAUAACUCUUGCUCGAAAUUUACGCCCCCAAUAUUUGGCGAUAUUUGCUCCCACAUAGGACGAUUAUUAUGUGCUCCAAUGAGUUCGUUCGUAUGUCCUUUCAAAAUGAUUUUCAAUCCAAAUCUUGGUAAAUGCUACCACUUCAAGUGUUUUUAUUUCAGGAAUUUCUCUUGAUUUUUUAUUUUUGCCUAUGUAUUUUCCUUUCUUGAAAGAAAGAAAAUAUAUGUAUUGCCAAAUUGGAUCUUACAUUGUCAGUUAAGUAAUCUAAGAAAUCUAAAGAUGCCAAAGAAACUAAGUAUGGUCCCAACUAUCUAAAAAAUCUAAAGAAGAGAAAGAAACUAAGUAUGGUCCCAGCUGUCUCCACUCAAUAUCUCCAAUAUCCUGAAUAUGCUAAAGUCUCCAAAGAAAUUUGAAGUCCCGUUUAGUAUUAAAAUUGAGAAAUUGUAACUUAAUAGUUUUAUGAUUAAAGUAUUUAGUAAAUAUAAGUUGUUGUGGAUUGAAAACUGAUCUAAUUUGAUUCACUGCUUAUAUGAUAAAAAAUAUAUAACACUUUUAUUGUUUUUAUCAAAUUAUAUUUAUUACCCUCUAUUAAUUUUUAUUUUAUAAUUAUAGCUUAUUUUUACAUCAGCUCAAAUUAUGUGUUUGCAGCUAAACAAAACGUAAAACACAUAAGACAAUCAGUUAAUGAUAGUAUGAUGAAUAAAAGAGAUUAUAUUAUACGACUAUGAUUAUGAUUAAUCAGUCUCUAUACAUCCAACAUUUGGUACUAUCAUUGACCCAAGUGACUGAAUUAAUUAUUUGCUUCUUUCUUUAGUCCUUACAGAUCAAAUUAACACUUAAUUGUUUUUAACAAUAAUUUUAAGAAUCUGAACGAUUGAAUUUGAAAAUCCUUUAAUCCAGUUCACACUCAAUUAUUACGGACCAAAUUCAUUAUUUGCUUUGCCUGUUGGCCCUGACAGGUAAGGUUGGGUUCAAGCAUUGUUAGUUUCCAUGAUUAUGAUGAUAUUAUAGUAUAAUUGAAGCAUGUCCACAAAUGAUUGGCACCUGGUUAAUUAAUCAUUGGCAUCAAACUAAUAAACUCCCUCUACUAUAUAGUCUAUAUAAGGGAGAAAAUUUAUGUUACAUUAGAUGUAAUUCAAUUAAAUUUGUCUGUAUAACAUGUGUAGUUAAAUUUAAUAUAACUAUUACUUAUAUGUUGAUUUUUUUAAAAAAUAAAUAAACGUAUGACAUAAUAUUAUUUAUUUAUGUAUGACUUACGCGAUACUUCUGAUAUAUUCUAAAAUUUCUCCUAUGUAAAUACCUUUACUUUAAACUCUAGACUAUGUACGUAAAAAAAAAAAUUAAUUAAGUUGAUCGUGUAAUUAAUUAAUUAAUUAAUUAGCUUCUAUCUUUGAAGAAAAAUCCAAAUUUCUUUACAUUUUAGAACAACCGUUUCACUUUAUUAUUGCUUUAAACUUUUUGGUGAUUGCAUUUACAUACAACAAAAAUUGAUAAUAAAAAAUUAGAAAAAAGAAAGUUAUUGAGAAGAAUAAUUAGGUACAAAAUCUAAGUUGUCAUGUUUCAAUUGUUAAAAUACUGCUUGAAGUGGUGGCUUGCACGCAGGCAACAUGCAUGCACGAGAUUGUGUGCUCGUGUGUUGGGUGGGAGGUUGAAUUUUAUUUAUUUAUUUAUUAUUAUUAUUUAUUUAUUUGGGAAUCUAGGUGGGAGGCUGAUUAAUUCUUUAUAAUUUAGACACCUUUUUCAAGUACUCACCUAAAGUUCAAAUAAUUCAUGAUGUUUUUGCUUUAAAUUGGUGCGGCCCAAUAAUAAACAUAUUGAAUGUCUAACCGGAUACAUUUUCCCUAAAUAUUAUUUCGAUGGAUAGUUAUUAUUUAAUACGACGUUCACACGUUUUAAAAUAAAAAUUUAAAAUUAAUUAAAUGAUAUUAUGUAAUUAUAAUAUUAUGAUUAGAAGUAUUUUUUUAGCUUUAAAUUCGUAUUCUAAAGGGUACAUAAAGAUUAGGCAUGUUAAAAUAUCUAUUGCAAAAAUUGAUGGUGUGUUUACUAAAUGAUAAUCGAAAUGAGUUAAAAUCAGAGUGAACUGAAAUAAGAAUAGGGAAUGAGAUCAAAAUAAAUUGUUUACUUUAGCUAUAUGAAUCAGAAGUGGAAUGAAUUAUAUUGCCAUUGAUGUAUUUACUUUAUUUUAGAAUCAUAAUGAAUUGUUAUAAGUUACUAAAAUGACCUUAGUUGAUAAUAAUAAUAAUAAUUGUUAUUAUUUAUUAUAAUAAUUGUGAUUAUUAUUAUUCAAAAUAAUUAUUGUUAAUAAUAAUAAUAAUAAUAAUAAUAAUAAUAAUAAUAAUAAUAAUAAUAAUAAUAAUAAUAAUAAUAAUAAUGAUAUUGAUAAUGAUGAUCAUAAUAGUCGUGUAGCAGUAGCAACAACAGUAGUAGUAAUAAUAAUAAAAUUUUAUAAUAAUAAUAAUAUUAUUACUGUUAUAAUUAUUAAUUUAAUUAUCAUUAAUUAAUACUAUUAUUAUUGUUAAAAUUAUUAUCGUCGUCGUCAUCAUCAUCAUUAAUUAUUAUUAUUAAUAACAAAAAUAAUUACAUAAAUAAGAAUAGUGAUAACAAUAAUACAAUAACAUAAUAUAAUUAUAUGACAAAAGUGAAAUUAUAAAAUUUGAGUGGGGUAAAAUGGGAAGUUCAAGGAAUGAGAACUUGAUUUCCUAUCCCUCUCAUGAAAAUCAAGUUAUUAUUCAUUGAUUCCGAAAAUAUGUGGGUCUCAUUUAUUUCAUUCUUAUUUUUACUUCUAUUUUAGCAAAAUAAACAUCAUUAACCAUUCCUAUUCCGAAUUCCGAAGUAAACAUAACAUAAAUAAAAUGAUAUCAACCAUCCAAUUCAAAAGAUGCCCAAAAGUGCAUACACGUUGUCUAGAAACAUCAAUAAUAUGAAUGCUUCCACUAUCAAAUCUUGAGUGGUGAGGAGACACUUAAUGUAUAUAGCAAGCAUUACAUCAGCAGCAUCAAGCAAUAACUUUAUAAAAGGAAUAAUUAUCAAGGUAGGCCUACAAGUUACACUAAAUUAUUGCUUAAGAUUCUUUUUACUUGAAGCAUAAAUAACCCAACAUCUAAUGAUGAAAUCGAAAGGGUAGAACUAGAAAUGAUGGGUGCUAAGUUCGAGCAAGUAGAAUGAAACUACAAAUCAUUUCACACGUUUGUAUAGGUGUUUGUUGGAUACCACUUUUAAUGACUUUAUAAGGAAGGUCAUUUUCUUGAUUGUUGGUGAUUAUUCUCAUGCUAGUGAAAAUAAAUUUUGAUAUAACUUGUUUCCCAAUCAUUGGUUCUUUUUAUUUAUUUGUUCUUUAAUGGUAUUGGGACUAAGUCAUCAAAUUAAUCAUAUCUCAAAGUUAGUUACCAAGUUAACAAUUAGAGUAGUUUUAGAUUUGUUAAAAUUUUAUUCCAAAUGAUUUAGUAUUUAUCAAUUGGAGGGGUGAGAUAAUGUUAUUAAUUUACCUGCAAUUAACUAGUGAAAAAUUAUCAAUCAUUUGAUGAGUGUAUAUAUCACAUGUCUGAGAUGAAAUUAGGAAUAAAAUUUUGGGAUAUCAUCAUUAAUCUAAAAAUUAUGAUUAUCAACCAUUUGAGAAGUAUAUAUAUUACAUCAUCGAAGAUGAAAUUAAGAAUAAAAUUUUGAGAUGUUUAUUAUUAAUCUAAAAAUUAUGACUUUGUGUAAUUAUAAAAUAUUUUCGUAUGUCUAUCAGAAUAUUUUGAUAUAUAGCUCAAUAUGUUUGCUGGACCUACUUUGAUGCACCAAAGAAAAGAAUGAAUAAAAUAUGCUCUAAUAUUUACAAAGAAACUCAAACCCUCAACUUAAAGAAUACAGUGAGGUAGCGCCCAUCUACUCAACUAAAGAGUUAUUGACAAUAAUUGACAUUCUGAAUGAAUGAUUCAAAAUUAGCACAAAAUUAAUUAAUUUGAUGUCAUAAAAGAUGUACAAAAUUGGAAGACCGUGGAUAGUAACAAAUCAUUGAAUUAUUAAACUAAUUUGUACCCUAAACUUAUUCGAUCUAACAGAGAAAAUGGUACAUUAUUUAUUCAUGGUCAAGCCACACAGCAUAAAAAUUUCAAAAUUUCCUUCAAUAUUUAUGUAAACUGAGGAUUCCUUGCAAGGCAAAACUUCAUCAUGUUUGAAUGGUCCAAAUUGAUUUAUUAAAAAUCAUGAUGUUGAAGGGUUGAUAACUCGAUAUUCUGAUAUCUUGAAAAGAGUUGCUUUAGUUUGCAUUUAUUUGACAAUAUUGUUAGAAGUUUGUAGUGACAUGCCACCACUUCUUUGAACCAAAAUAAAUAAUCUAGUUGACAAUUGUUGUUUGACUCAGUAAACAAUUUAGUUAUAAUCAUAUUAUAGGAUAGAAUCAUUUUGACUUUGAACAUAUAUAUAUAUAGUCUUUUGAAACAUGCCAUAGCAUAGUAAUAAUUUUAUAAUGCUUAGCUAAUUUGUACAAUUAUAAUCUAUCUAUGGAAAGAUAAAUAGCAUUAAUCUCGACUCAAAAGUGUUUGAUAUGCUUUUCUUGUCAAAGAAGCACUUUUAUUUUUUCAAACUUUUAUUUUUAAUUAUUUUAAUAAAAUGCUAAAAAAAUAAGUAAAAUUAUCAAUUCAAUUAUUCGAUAACAUUGAGAUACAUAUCCCUUAUCCGUAAAUCCAGUUUCAGUGUGGCCCAAAAGCUCUGUUGGUUUGAGAAAAAUGGCCAUGAAAGAUUUUUGGGCCCAUGAAUGUAACAAAAAAUUCAUCUGAUUGCAAAUUAAGUAGCUCUCACUUCAGCACCCUACAAAGCAAAAAAAUCACGAAGAAGAAAUGUUUAUUACAUGAUGAUGAUUCCUCAAAGGUUCUAGAUCUUGUUUCGAUGAACAAAUUUCUCCCUAGAGAUGGCCAAUGGGCGCCGGCAUCAAAGUGAGGCCCAUGCGUGCUCGUAUCCGCACCGUGCCGGGCCUUUUUUUUUUUUUUUGCUUAGGCUCGGCCCGGCACACGUGCCGUGGGUCGUGCCGUGCCUUGCCUAAGAAAAAAAGUCCAAUAAAUAUAUUUAUUUAUUUUUUUAUUUUUUAAGAGUGCAUAUCAAGCUAUUGACGUACUUUUUUUCAAGUCUAUGUACUUUUUUUAAAUUUAUGUCUUUAUUCAAAUUUAAUAGAAUCAAAAUUUUAAAACUAAUAAUAGUAAGAGAAUGUAAUAUUCAUUACUAAGUUUGACCUUAUAGUGUUAGAAUAUGUUUUAAUGCUUAACAACAACACCAAUAAUAAUAAUAAUAAAUUUUUCUUAAAGAUUAAUUUAAUUGUUAACUUGGACUUACAUAGAGUCAUAGAUCAUAGUUCACAAUAAUAUUAAUGCAUAUUAAUAAAAUCAUGAUAUUUAUAAUUUUUUAUUCAUUAAAAUCAUGAUAUCAAUUAUUUAUUUAAUAAAUUAUAAAUAUAAAUCAAUUAUAGUAUUUUUUUUAAACUAAGAAUUAAAUGAAUUUAAAAAAUUCAAUUUCAAGUUAUUUGUAAAAUCAUAAAAUUUUAAGUUUACUUUCAUUAAAAAAUAAAACGUGCUUAUUGUGGGCUUUUUUAUCGUGUCGUGCUUAGCCCAUCUCUAAUCGUGCUGUACUUAGCUCAUCUCUAAUCGUGCUGUGCUUUUAAAGCCCGCUUGCCUAAAAUUCUAAGCCCGACCCAACCCACAUGGACGCCGUGCCGUGCCGCGUGCCUCACCGAAACGUGCUCGUGUCGUCCCGUGCCACGUGCCGUCUAGCCCAUUGGCCAUAUCUAUUUCUCCCCUACAAGUUUCUCAUCUCACUCACCAAAGAGAAAAUCACUCACAAAUGUACCAAACUUACUAUCCACAUACAACUCAGCAAGUUGAAGCACUAGAGUGAAGUGCUACUAGGUAGGCAUAAAACUCAUAUGGGAUGUCAAUUAAAAUCUCAUGAUUUCCUUUCUCCACUGUAAUCGCAAAACAAUGGGCCACCACAAUUAUUGCUUGGUUCUUUAUUACGCUUUCUAAUACAUCUUGAACUACAGGUUUCGAUUCAGCAUCAAGUGCACUGGUAGCUUCGUCUGAAACUAAUAUCUUUGGAUUUGUAACUAUGGCACGUGCAAUGGCUACCCGUUGCUUUUGACCACCUGACAAUUAAAGUCCUUGCUCUCCAACCAUUGUCUCGUACCCCCACACUCCACAUUACAUUAUAUUGAAGUGACAUAUUUACUUGUACAAUGAAAGUAUAUAGGAUCGUGACUUAUGUAAUAAUCUAACCUGUUGUAGACUACUAAUGAACUUGUGAAGUUGGCAGCUCAGCUUUGAUGUGGAUAGAAUUUGAGGUUCAGUUGCAUUCCCUCCCAUUCCAUAAGCAAUGUUGCUGCGGAUUGUGUCAUUGAACAUAACAGGUUCUUGGCUCGCUAGCCUAUCUACUGCCUUCACCAUUUUAGUAGGAGCUUUUGAAUUUCCACUCCAUCCACCAUAAUGCAUCCUGAAUCAGGAACAUAGAAUCUUUGCAACAAUGAUAUUAUUGUUGAUUUCCCACUCCCACUUUCUCCAAUUAGAGUAACGAUCUAAAAGGAGAAAAGGAAAAAAACUAACAGAAGGAUAAUAUAAUUUAGACCCUAAUCAUAUGGUGUGAUUUUUGUUUGUCUCAACUGCUUCAAAGAAUGGAGUUUAGUAGUAGUCACAUUGGCAGUAAGAAUUUUCAGGCUAUCUAUUGGAAAAUGUGAAUAUCUGACCCUCAUGGAUAUUUAAAACUUACAUGAUGAAGCUCUAUUUCUCCUUUAACAUUGUCCAACUUUGUCCUGAAUUCAUCAUUGGCGCCUAUCUUCGACUUGCAGUCUAGAUUGCGAAACUUGAAGCAACAACAUUCUUCUCUUUGGUCGAAUUAGAACCAAAUGAGCUGAAUUGAGAUAUGCCAAUGGUUGUUAUCAUUAAAGCAUAAAAAACAUGCAAAACAAACACAAGGCAUUGUUUUGUCAUUGGAACUUUUUAGUGUUUAUAAAGAUGUGAACUUAAGCCCGAGAUAUCAUGUCCAAAGUAGAGAUGACCAAUGGGCCGUGCCGUGCCGACCCAACUCAUCAAAGGAAGGCUCAUGUGUGCUCGUGGUCGUGCCAUGCUGUCCUGUAUCGUGUCUUUUUUUUUUUUUUUUACUUAGGCCCAACCUAGCACACGUGCUGUGCUGUGGGCCAUGUCAUGCCGUGCCUGAGAAAAAAAGCAUGAUAAACCUUUUUUUUAAGAGGGCAUGCCAAGUUGUUAGUGUGAUUAUUUCAAGUUUAUGUACUUUUUCAGGUUUAUCUGCUUUUAAUCAAAUUCAAUAAAAUAAAAAAUUCAAAACUCAAGUCCAUAUUCAAUAACAAUAAAAUAAUAAUAUUAAGAAAAUGAAAUACUAAUUACUAACUUAAACCCUACUUUACUAAAAUUUCUUUUUAAUACUUAACAAUAACAACAACAAUAAUAAUAAAUUUUUCUUAACGAUUAACUUAAUUGUUAACUUGGACUUACAUAUAGUCAUAGAAAAUUACUUAUAUUCAAUACAAAGGAUAUUACUUAUAUUCAACUAAAUGAUAAAACUCAAAAUUAUUCCUUUAAGUUGAAACUUCAAUAGCAUUCAUAAUUACCUUAGAAGUUGCAUCAGCCGUUGCUAAUAUGGUUUUGGCCAAAAGAGUCAGUCAUCUCACAUAGUAGCAAUGUCAAUACAUCAUAGAAUCUACUAAUGCAAAUAGCUUGUAGAAUGGAGUCAAGUUAGUUUUGUCAUUUCAUUUCCCUUGUCUUCUCCAAAUCUUGUUAGUUCCUAGUCAUACUCGAACCUUUUUGGAUUUGGAUGGCUAUUCAAGCUCCUCGACACCAAUACACUGUCAUAAAGACGUUAAUCCAACAACAAAUUAGUGUUUGAAUCUGUUUGGGGUGAAAAGCAUCGUGACCAAGCACACAUGAGCAUAACAUGCUCCCCUCAGCUUAAAAUGACUCCUCGAGGAAAAUUAUCCCCGACGAGUUGUGUGGUUGGUCGCGUGAGUAAAGUUGACUUGAGGACGCGCGAGGAGAGACCAGGGAGAGACUAGAAUCAAGAGAGAUCGAAUAACUUCGUCAAAGGUCAACCCAUGGGUUUUCUUUAAAAAAUUCGAAUGUGAAGCCUACUCAACAACAAAUUACGAUGCCCAUUCACCCAAGGCUAUAUAACCGACCCAAUAACAAUUGUAGGGGAGAGGAGACCGAUAAUUCUGGUCGGAUAUAAAAGCUUCAGGGAAUGGAAUUAAAAAGUGUUUGACAACUUUUCACUAGAUCCUCAUAUCUUUUUCUCUAUAGAUAAUUCUCUCUCUUUUAUCUUUCUUUAUUUCUAAAAUUAAGCUUUCUAUCCUGAAUUGUGGCAUAAGUUUUUCCAAAAAAGGCCUGAUCACUGACUUGACCAUCAGAGGAUUUUCAUUGGAAAAACAUUCGAGACCUCUCUAACUAAAUAUUGUGAGCUCAGGUGAUUUGGUAUAACAAGUUUGUGGUCGAAGCUAGUUGUUCGAGUAGAAAAGCUGCAGUGCUGAGCCGUUACCUUAACAAACAAAUUUAAGUGUUAGUGUGGACAUCUAGUUGCAACUCUACCGAUCAUAUAUCUGCAUUAAUAUUUUACCGCCGUCUGUGGUGACGAAACAAAAAGCUAUAACUAAUGAAGCAAUUAAGAAAAAGAAAGGAUAAUGAGCAUGGAUACAAGAGGAAAUGAUGCCCAAGGGGCCAAGUUUAGAAUCAAUGAGUUAAUCACCUUGCGGGAAAUAGUGAAUGAAGUAAGGGAAAGAGCAAUGCAUGAACGGAUAAGCGAAUGGAGACCCUCACAGCUGUUUUACAUGAGUUGAGGGAUGUGCAACGAAGGUUUGAUGCUGGAGGUUUGAGGAAUAAUCAGGAUGUCCUAACAUCCAGUAAUAGAGCAGAUCCAGGUGAGUGGGAUUCAUGAAUAAGGAGCCAGUUCCACAGUGAGCUAAAUCCUGGUGCUGGGAGUCAAUUUUGUGGUGAGUAAAACCAUGGGGUAGGAAAUCAAUUUGAGGCAGUCAAAAUAUGGGGAAUACAAAAAUAGAAGUGAACAUUGAAAAGAGAGAGUUGGGGAAGCAUCUCCACGAUAUCAAACAGGAGUGCGAAUAGGUCGCUGCCUACAAUCAUGGUCGAGCGGUGGAAUUAGAAGGCGAGGUGAGAAGAUUGGCUAAGAUCAUUGACGAGAUGCAAAGACGAGAAAAGCUUCCCAAUUGGAGAAUCAUGUUGGAUAACGAGUCCCCAUUUUCUUUAGAAAUUAUCAACACCACAAUACCUAGGGAUUUCCAUUUUUCCAAUCUCAAAUACUCUAGGAAAAGCGACCCUCUAGUACACAUUGAGCGUUUCAAUAAGGGUACAAGGCUUUACACAGGUGCAAAGAUGUAGAGCAUUUUCUCUGACUUUGGAAGGGCGAGGAUGCGACUAGUAUUGUUGACUACCUCGUGGGAGUAUCAUGGGGACACGAGAGGAGAGACUAGAAUCAAGCCAGAUUGAAAACUUGGUCAAAGGUCAAGCCAUGGGUUUCCUCCAAAGAAUUUGAGCAUGAAGUCCAUUUAAUAGCAGUUACGCUGCCCACUCACCCACGGUUAUGCAACCGACCCAGUAACAAAUGUUGGGGAAAGGAGGCCGAUAAUUCCGGUCGGAUAUGAAAGCUAUAGGGAAUGGAAGUAAAAGGGGUUAGAGAACUUUUCAGUAGAUUCUUAUAUACUUUUCUUCCCUAUCGAUAAUUCGCUCUCCUCUAUCUUUCUUUCAUUUUGAAAUUGUGGCACAAGGUUUUUCAAAAAAAUCCCAAUGACUAACUUGAGCGUUGGAGGGUUUUCGUCAGAAAAACAUCAAGCGGCCCUCUAAUUGAAUAUUGUGAUCACAAGUGAUCUGGUGCAGCAAGUUCGUGGUCAAAGCUAACUGCUCAAGUGGAAAAGUUGUAAUGUUGAGCCGUCACCCCAACAAACAAAUUUAAUUGUUGGCGUUGACACCUGGUCGCAACUCUACCAACCAGAUAUAUGCAUCAACAGAAUUAGAGCUACACCACACAAUUAGUGUUUGAAAUCCGCAACUCGAAACCAAAUUAACUAAAAGUGAGCAAUAACACAACUUAAAAGUAAUUUCUAACUCCCAAGUAUAAAAAUGUCUUGUUAUAUUAUAGCUUGGUGAGUCCGAAGUCGAUCCACAAAAAAAAGAUUUAAUUUGUUUAUUUUAUUUUAUCUAAAAAUGAAAAUAAAAUUUGAAUGUAAAUAACUUAAUUUAAAUGAAACUAUGAAAUUAAAUUAGUUAGGGUUAUGGAUCCACUCUUAGUAAUAAAUAAAAUUUAAUAAAUUCCUUUUACCUUUUUUUUUAUUGCCCAAAAGAUUAAUUAUAUAAAUUAUUAUUAUUUUCUCAUUAAUUUUAUAAUGGAUUAAGUAUUUAUUGUGCCAAAAUUUGAUUUGUUUACAAUAAGUCAAAAUACCAUUUUACCAUACCUUAUAUUAAAAUAUUAAGAAUUUAUUGUGCCAAACUCUCUUGUUUGUUUACAAUAAAUCAAAAUUUCAAAAUAUAAAAUAUGUAUACAAUUAAAUAGAAAAUAAUUGAAUUUAUAUAAAUAAAAAUAGAAUUUGAUUAAAUCAUAUUUAUUUCCUAAGAGUUUCACCUUACCCUAACUAUUAUUAUUUAGCUAAGCAUAAUUGAAAUAAAAAUAAUUAUUAAAAUUAAAUUACUCAUUAUUAAAAGUAAUAAAAACAACUAAAAAUAAAAAUAAAAAUAAAUUUAUUUAUAAAAAUAAUUAUGCAAAAUAUUAAAACACACUUGAAAAAUAAGAUUACAGGAAAAUUGAGAGAAAUUGAGAAGAAAAGAGAUGCUCAAAAUGACUCUAUUUAUAGAAAAAUAAAUUCAUAAUCCAGUGUAUUGCCGUCCAUCAUAAACUUUAUGCAUGCGGUCUACACAACCAUUCGAUCAAGAUCCAACGGCUGGUCAAACUUCAAAAGUCAACAUUACAUGUGGCAUCUUGUGAAGCAUCCGAUUUGGUCAAAGAACAGUUGAGAUUUGGUGGGUUAAUGGGUGGAUCGGGUCGACCCGAAUACAAAGGUUUGGAUCCUACAACUUGCUUCACCAACCAUUGCCACGUGGCACGAUUGUGGUAAUUGAAUCAUGAAGGGUUGAGAUUUAGUCAAAAUUGACAGUUAUCCAAUACACUCAUAUCUAUUGUAAGCUCAUUUUAUCAUCUAAUCAGUGCUUGGUCAACAGAAAAAUUCAACUUUUUGUACAAGCUCAAAUUUAAGCCGGUCUUGACUCAUCUUAAGGUUUUUAGACCUCCGAAAUCUAAAUUUGAUAUUCGUUUAUCUGUUUGGAGCCUCGAAUUAUGUGAAAUUAAUAUUUUACCUAAUAAACACACAAAAUUAAAUAUAAUUAAGACAUAAUUAAUAAUCCUAAUAUAUUGCAUAAACAAAAAUAUAAAUUAUAAUAUAGACAUAAAAGUAAUAUUUUUAUCGCUUGAUAAUCAAACAAUUUUUAAUACUAAUCAAGCAACUUCCAAAAUUCUUUAAGGACUACUGGAGUGGAAUGAAAUGAUUACAAAAUUUAUAAUUUAUGAGCAAGUACAGCACCAUUACAUUCAUUCUCUAUUGAGAAAAAAUAAUUGUACUAGUCAUAAAAAAGAAGCAAAAAGGAUGAAUAAAAAUAGAAAAUAAAAACCAAACAUAAGAGGAAGCUAUGCUUCUGUUUUUGUUCUUGUGUUUUCACGCAACACUUUUGAGUCUUCAAGGACCUAUAACGUAGGCUACAGGUAAACUUCAAAAAAUCUAUUUGAGAAAAAUUUGGGAACCCAUAAAAGUAAAUGAUCAUUUAAAAACAAAAUAAUAAUAAUAAUACUAAUAAUAAAUCUGAACAUUUUCUAACUCAAACGACAAUUAUGAUUAAUUAAGGUACUUAAAAUCUUAAGAAUUAGGCAAGAAGAGACUCAAGGUCCUAAAAAAAAUUCUUGAAUAAUUUAGUCAAUAUACUAAAAAUUCUCUAUAAUCGCAUUGUUAAAAACAAACUAAUUUUUAUUAUUAUAAGGAGGUUAUAAUUUAAUAGAGAUAUAUUUACAAAAAAUAUUAUUUUGGCUUAAUUGUCCUAAGUGCAAACGAUAUAAACCUAAAGUAUGUGUUACAUCGAUAACUAAUUAAUGAAACCUAUCAAAACUAAUAUAUAGACAUUGAUAAAAGAGAAACAUAAUUUUAAAAAAACCAGUACUAAUAUUUAUCAUUUAUAUAGUGUUGAGAAUAUAUAAAGUCAUUUUUUUAAAAGUUUAAACAAUAAAUUAUUAUCCUAAAUAACUUCAAGAAAAUAAAUUUAUUUAAUCUUAAUAUAGAAAUAAUGAUUAAUAUUUAGAGGCAAGUUCCAAAAAGACGUGAUCUAUAAAAAAGUUAUUAGAACAUGAAGUUAUUUUUGUAGUAACUACCCCAGACUUGGAACCAAAAUUUUUUAUGCAAGUUCUUGAUGAGUAGAUGUUCUUAUUAAAAAUCAAUCCCAAUCAAUGACUUUUCUCUGCUCAACUCUUCUGACCCUUAUCAACGUUCCAAAUUCACUCUGGCCCUCGGAAAUGCCUGCAAGGACUGGGGCUUCUGCACGGUACAUGCAUUAUAUAUGGACUAUUAGUAUACAGAUCAAGUCCGAACGUCCUUAUAUAAGAAAUGGAUUUGAACCAUCAUCAAUUUUCUUUGGACGUAACGUAGAAAACCCAUCACAGUUAAAUUGUGUGAAUGAAUCAAAAUGGUGCAUACCCCAUGCCCAUCAACGAUUAUCAGUAUAGUUCCGAGACCAGGAUGGCGAACGAGGCAUUUGACAAGAACAAAGUUUGCGUCUACAAUUGUCAAAGUGAAACUCGAGAGAAUAACUAGCCCAUUAUUGUUAACUAAAUAUCUAAAAUUUAUAAAAUGUUCAAUCAAAACAUUAAUAUACGUCUGGACACUUGAGGGCCAUAGCGUACAUGGCCUGUGUUCUUGUUUAACAUGUGUCCUAGAUUGUGCCAAAGCAGAGACCAUAAAAGAACCAGUUACUAAAUUGCCGCACGCUACAGACCAGCCCAGCUAAAGCGUAAGUGGGCGUCCAUGGCCACGGGUACGACACGUAGGGAUGGGUGUUGGAAGUUUGGACUUUCGAAGGACUAUUGCUCUGAAGAUGCUUUGGCUGCCGAGGCCAAACAAGAAUGGCCAUUAACGUGCUUAACUUGCUUGACGUGCGUAGAAUCGGGAAAAUGAGCAAUCACCACGCGGUGGUUUCUAUUAGAAUGGCCAUUAAUGUGCUUGACUUGCUUGACGGGCGUAGAAUCGGGGAAAUGAGCAAGCAAUCAUCACGCGUUAAUUUCUAUUAGAAUGGCCAUAAACGUGCUUAACUUGCUUGACGGGCGUAGAAUUGGGAAGCUCUUUUGAUCACAGUAUCCAGAUACUAAUGUUACGGGCAUUAAAAAGAAUAUGUUUACUUUCGUUUGUCAAAGCUUGUUUCUUCCUCAAAAUUCUGAUAUGGCACUAAGAGAAAUUGAAAAGAACUGUAAUUCAUUUCAUUUUUUUUUCAAACAAUUAACCAAACAGGGAGAUCGAAACAACACAGGAUAACAGGAACCGAUCAAAACGACACAACAUAACCCAAGGAAAAUAUCAAAACACGAAACCAUAACAUAGCUCCUAAUUUAUCCUAAACAACACUAAUUCCUCCAGCUGCCGCCAUCAGAAGCACCGCUCCUUGAGUAUCGGGAACCACCAUCACCGCCAUAUCCACCAUCACGGCUGUAACCACCUUCACGGCGGCCACCAUAUCCUCCACCACCGCCACCUCCGUAUCCGCGGCUCCCACCGUAUCCACCACCACCACCACUUUCACGGCGUCCACCACCUCCAUAUCCGCCACCGCCGCGGCUUCCGUAACCACCACCGCCACCGCCACCGCUUCCGCGGGACUGGGCCUCGUUGACUGUGAUGUUACGGCCGUCGAGAUUCUGGCCGUUCAUGCCUUCGAUCGCGUCCCUCAUCGACUUCUCAUCGCGGAAGGUAACGAAUCCAAAUCCUCUGGAUCUUCCAGUCUCGC
rnacentral:lncRNA from 1 species